UCCAAUGCGCCUUAAGUAUGAAAACAGACCAGAAAAUAGACGUUUAUUGAUAGUGCACCUUAUAGUGGAAAAAUAUGGUUCUUCAUUUAUAUCCUUCUUUUUAUGAUCAGAACCCCACAGAGGAGACCACCACAGAGCAGCUAUUAUUAUUUGGGUGGUGGGUCACUAUUCUAAGCACUGCAGUGAUUAGCAGUGAUUAGCAUGGUGGUGGUGUAUGAGGUGUUAGUGUGUGUUGAGCUGGUGGUACAGUGAGUGAAUCAGAUACAGCAGUGAUUAGCAGUGAUUAGCAUGGUGGUGGUGUAUGAGGUGUUAGUGAGUGUUGAGCUGGUGGUACAGUGAGUGAAUCAGAUACAGCAGUGAUUAGCACUGAUUAGCAUGGUGGUGGUGUAUGAGGUGUUAGUGAGUUUUGAGCUGGUACAGUGAGUGGAUCAGAUACAGCAGUGAUUAGCAGUGAUUAGCAUGGUGGUGGUGUAUGAGGUGUUAGUGAGUGUUGAGCUGGUGGUACAGUGAGUGGAUCAGAUACAGCAGUGAUUAGCACUGAUUAGCAUGGUGGUGGUGUAUGAGGUGUUAGUGUGUGUUGAGCUGGUGGUACAGUGAGUGGAUCAGAUACAGCAGUGAUUAGCAGUGAUUAGCAUGGUGGUGGUGUAUGAGGUGUUAGUGAGUGUUGAGCUGGUGGUACAGUGAGUGGAUCAGAUACAGCAGUGAUUAGCAGUGAUUAGCAUGGUGGUGGUGUAUGAGGUGUUAGUGAGUGUUGAGCUGGUGGUACAGUGAGUGGAUCAGAUACAGCAGUGAUUAGCAGUGAUUAGCAUGGUGGUGGUGUAUGAGGUGUUAGUGAGUGUUGAGCUGGUGGUACAGUGAGUGGAUCAGAUACAGCAGUGAUUAGCAGUGAUUAGCAUGGUGGUGGUGUAUGAGGUGUUAGUGAGUGUUGAGCUGGUGGUACAGUGAGUGGAUCAGAUACAGCAGUGAUUAGCAGUGAUUAGCAUGGUGGUGGUGUAUGAGGUGUUAGUGAGUGUUGAGCUGGUGGUACAGUGAGUGGAUCAGAUACAGCAGUGAUUAGCAGUGAUUAGCAUGGUGGUGGUGUAUGAGGUGUUAGUGUGUGUUGAGCUGGUGGUACAGUGAGUGGAUCAGAUACAGCAGUGAUUAGCAGUGAUUAGCAUGGUGGUGGUGUAUGAGGUGUUAGUGAGUGUUGAGCUGGUACAGUGAGUGGAUCAGAUACAGCAGUGAUUAGCAGUGAUUAGCAUGGUGGUGGUGUAUGAGGUGUUAGUGAGUGUUGAGCUGGUGGUACAGUGAGUGGAUCAGAUACAGCAGUGAUUAGCACUGAUUAGCAUGGUGGUGGUGUAUGAGGUGUUAGUGAGUGUUGAGCUGGUACAGUGAGUGGAUCAGAUACAGCAGUGAUUAGCACUGAUUAGCAUGGUGGUGGUGUAUGAGGUGUUAGUGAGU